CAUUUGUAUCCUUGUCAAAACCUUAAGUUCAAACCUUCACUUCUUCUUUCAUCACUUCAGCCGUCACAAUAUCCUAGUAGCGAAAAUGAUUUUCAAGAGGUACAUUGAGAUUGGAAGGGUUGCUCAGAUCAACUACGGCAAAGACUAUGGGAGGCUAGUGGUCAUUGUCGACGUCAUUGACCAGAACAGAAGAAGAUGAAUUUGAAAUCUGAAACUCUUUGAAUGGACAAAGGAAAAAAGGUAACUCUUCUUCUCUCCAUAUGAUAGUUGAUAGUGGAUUGAAUACUAAUUAAAAAAAGUGAAUAUAGGAAUUGUGAACUUUUUGUAGAGGUCACUCUUGUAUAACUGAAUAUGGCAGUUGAUAAUAUGACCAAUUUGUGAGAAGAUGCUAAAAGUAUAGGCAGUUGAUAAGUAUGGCAGUUCAUAAGUAUGGGCAGUUGAAGGUCACUAUUGUCGUUUGAUUUAGUGUUUCUAUAAUUAUUAUUUUAUUCAAAGAAGCGAGUUUGUUGGUGGUUAUUAUUAAGUUGCUAAUAAAUGAUCUUUCUCCACUUUCUUAACGAUAUUGAUAUUGAAUUGCAAUUUAAUUUCAUGAGAAGUGACUCUAGAGGCUAAUAUUGAGUUUAAGGAAUGCAGAACUGGUAUACAAUUUUAUGACUAUUACACAUAGAUCGUUACACAUGGUUGAUAAUUACAUUUAAUUUAUAAACACCUAUAACAUUUUUUAUAUCGAUGAUUCUCUUUAUGAGUGAGAUGUGUAUUGAUUUAGCCUAGUUUAUAUCAUGUUUUUGUCGUGAGAUGUGUAUUGAUUCUCUUAU